AAUACCUCAGACGGGAAAUGUGUGCCCAGAAGACUAUAGCUCCAUUGUGUGCGGCUGGAUGCCUUCCAUGGGCUUUGUUUAUGGGACAGAUUGUUUUUGCAAAGUUGUUUGCUCCGGAUGGAAAGAAACCCAAUGUGUCAGGAUACUGGUCUGUUAGGCUCUGUGGCAGUAUGUCCUUUGCCCAUGGUCACUUUCCCAGAAGGCUUCAGUUGUUGAAUCUGUAACUUCUGGACUCCUGGACGCCUGACUUGUCAGCACCAAGUAAACACAGCUCAGAUCUGAAGAGAAGGAGGAUGCCAAAGCGAACUGCUGCAAGGUCUUCCCCAGCUCUCCAAAGGAGUUCACCUUUUAAAUGAAGAAGAAAGAAGGAAAGAAAGAAAAGAGAGAGAAAAGGAAGGAAGGGUGAAGACUGGAGCUCAAUGGCAGAGCAUUUGCCUAGCGUGUGCGGACCCCUGCGUCCCAUUCCUAG